rnacentral:rRNA from 1 species
CCUACGGGCGGCAGCAGUGGGGAAUAUUGCACAAUGGGGGAAACCCUGAUGCAGCGACGCCGCGUGAGUGAAGCAGUAUUUCGGUAUGUAACGCUCUAUCAGCAGGGAAGAAAAUGACGGUACCUGAUUAAGAAGCCCCGGCUAACUACGUGCCAGCAGCCGCGGUACUACGUAGGGGGCAAGCGUUAUCCGGCUUUACUGGGUGUAAAGGGAGCGUAGACGGCAGCACAAGUCUGGAGUGAAAUGCCGGGGCUUAACCCCGGAACUGCUUUGGAGACUGUGCAGCUAGAGUGUAGGAGAGGUAAGUGGAAUUCCUAGUGUAGCGGUGAAAUGCGUAGAUAUUAGGAGGAACACCAGUGGCGAAGGCGGCUUACUGGACUGUAACUGACGUUGAGGCGCGAAAGCGUGGGGAGCAAACAGGAUUAGAUACCCCGGUAGUC